GGCGGCGUGCCUAACACAUGCAAGUCGAACGAGAAAGUGGAGCAAUCCAUGAGUAAAGUGGCGACCGGGUGAGUAACACGUGACUAACCUACCCUCGAGUGGGGAAUAACUCCGGGAAACCGGGGCUAAUACCGCAUAACAUCGCAAGAUCAAAGCAGCAAUGCGCUUGAGGAGGGGGUCGCGGCUGAUUAGCUAGUUGGCGGGGUAACGGCCCACCAAGGCGAAGAUCGGUAUCCGGCCUGAGAGGGCGCACGGACACACUGGAACUGAAACACGGUCCAGACUCCUACGGGAGGCAGCAGUGGGGAAUUUUGCGCAAUGGGGGAAACCCUGACGCAGCAACGCCGCGUGGAGGAUGAAGCCCUUUGGGGCGUAAACUCCUUUCGACUCGGACGAUAAUGACGGUACGAGUGGAAGAAGCACCGGCUAACUCUGUGCCAGCAGCCGCGGUAAUACAGAGGGUGCGAGCGUUGUUCGGAAUUAUUGGGCGUAAAGGGCGCGUANGCGGUGCGGUAAGUCACCUGUGAAAUCUCCUGGCUUAACUGGGAGCCUGCAGGCGAAACUACCGUGCUGGAGUGUGGGA
rnacentral:rRNA from 1 species